AUGCAUAUGAAUACCAGGUCGCAACCUCUCCCCUGUAGAGGCAAUCUGCUGCUGCUGCUAAGUGUCCUUUGGUGGCUGAUUGCAGUUUCAAGGUUUAAGAAAUCCCAUCUUUCAGGAAGCCUGAGGGGAAGAAAGGAAGUACGGGCGAAAUCAUCAGAUUGGCUUCCCGGGUUUGGGAAUCUGAAGCGGGCCCGCAUCUUCCGGCCAACUUCCAUUGAACUUCCCAGCACUCGAAAGGGACCGAAAUGGAGAGCAAAGUUAGUUCUGGAUGAAUAAAUCGGAGAGGACAGGAAGGAAGGAAACAACACUGGGCUAGGAGUCGGGUGAUCUGGAGUCUGUCCUGGUGCUGCUCAGGACUCAGUGACUUGACGUGACCUUGGCAAAGGCACUCUGCCUCCUGCAUUUCUAUUGCGUCAAUGGUAAUAUGAGGUGGGUUGAAGCAAAGGUGAUAUAGAGACUGCCAUCUACUAAAAACAAAAAAAAAAACCAAAAAAA
rnacentral:lncRNA from 1 species